GCCGGGUGUGGUGGCUCAUGCCUGUAAUCCCAGCACUUUGGGAGGCUGAGGUGGGUGGAUCACCUGAGGUCAGGACUUCAAAACCAGCCUGGCCAACAUGGUGAAACCCCGUCUCUA
ensembl:misc_RNA Metazoa_SRP Metazoan signal recognition particle RNA